rnacentral:rRNA from 1 species
GGAAACGACUGCUAAUACCCGAUGUGCCGCAAGGUGAAACCUAAUUGGCCUGGAGAAGAGCUUGCGUCUGAUUAGCUAGUUGGUGGGGUAAGAGCCUACCAAGGCGACGAUCAGUAGCUGGUCUGAGAGGAUGAGCAGCCACACUGGGACUGAGACACGGCCCAGACUCCUACGGGAGGCAGCAGUGGGGAAUUUUCCGCAAUGGGCGAAAGCCUGACGGAGCAACGCCGCGUGAGGGAGGAAGGUCUUUGGAUUGUAAACCUCUUUUCUCAAGGAAGAAGUUCUGACGGUACUUGAGGAAUCAGCCUCGGCUAACUCCGUGCCAGCAGCCGCGGUAAUACGGGGGAGGCAAGCGUUAUCCGGAAUUAUUGGGCGUAAAGCGUCCGCAGGUGGUCAGCCAAGUCUGCCGUCAAAUCAGGUUGCUUAACGACCUAAAGGCGGUGGAAACUGGCAGACUAGAGAUCAGUAGGGGUAGCAGGAAUUCCCAGUGUAGCGGUGAAAUGCGUAUAGAUUGGGAAGAACAUCGGUGGCGAAAGCGUGCUACUGGGCUGUAUCUGACACUCAGGGACGAAAGCUAGGGGAGCGAAAGGGAUUAGAUACCCCUGUAGUCCUAGCCGUAAACGAUGGAUACUACGCGUGGCUUGUAUCGACCCGAGCCGUGCCGAAGCUAACGCGUUAAGUAUCCCGCCUGGGGAGUACGCACGCAAGUGUGAAACUCAAAGGAAUUGACGGGGGCCCGCACAAGCGGUGGAGUAUGUGGUUUAAUUCGAUGCAACGCGAAGAACCUUCCCAAGACUUGACAUGUCGCGAACCCUGGUGAAAGCUGGGGGUGCCUUCGGGAGCGCGAACACAGGUGGUGCAUGGCUGUCGUCAGCUUGUGUCGUGAGAUGUUGGGUUAAGUCCCGCAACGAGCGCAACCCUCGUUCUUAGUUGCCAGCAUUAAGUUGGGGACUUUAAGGAGACUGCCGGUGACAAACCGGAGGAAGGUGGGGAUGACGUCAAGUCAGCAUGCCCCUUACGUCUUGGGCGACACACGUACUACAAUGGUCGGGACAAAGGGC